rnacentral:rRNA from 1 species
AUUGAACGCUGGCGGCAUGCCUUACACAUGCAAGUCGAACGGAGUGCUUCGGCACUUAGUGGCGGACGGGUGAGUAACGCGUGAGAAUCUGGCUUCGGGUUCGGGACAACAGUGGGAAACUGCUGCUAAUACCGGAUGUGCCUAAGGGUAAAAGAUUAAUUGCCCGAAGAUGAGCUCGCGUCCGAUUAGCUAGUUGGUGUGGUAAGAGCGCACCAAGGCGUCGAUCGGUAGCUGGUCUGAGAGGACGAUCAGCCACACUGGGACUGAGACACGGCCCAGACUCCUACGGGAGGCAGCAGUGGGGAAUUUUCCGCAAUGGGCGAAAGCCUGACGGAGCAAUACCGCGUGAGGGAGGAAGGCUCUUGGGUUGUAAACCUCUUUUCUCAGGGAAGAAAAAAAUGACGGUACCUGAGGAAUCAGCAUCGGCUAACUCCGUGCCAGCCGCCGCCGUAAGAC